GGAAAUUCGCCGCCGAAUCGCAGCGUCACGAAGAUCGAGCCGGGGAUCCGAGAUCUCGGGGUGAAUCCGCCGUAGCGCGGUAGGGCAGCUCCCGCCCGAACCCGUCAGCUAACCCGGUAGGCGGUUCCGAGGGGAGUG
rnacentral:sRNA from 1 species